AUGUUCGCUCAGUGUUGCAACUUCUACAGCAGCACGAGCUCUUGCUCAAAUAGUCCAAGUGCACAUACGGUGCAACAUCUGUUGCAUACCUGUGCCACGUCAUGUCAGCCGCCAAUGUUGCGAUGGACUGUAGCAAGGGCAAGCGGUGGACUGGCCAAUACCCAAGCCGGUGCGGGCACUUCUUGGCUUCCUUGGCUUCUCGGGGUACCACAGGAUAUUCAUCCAAAACUUGGGCACCACCGCGACACCCCUCAGAAAGCUCCUCAAGGAGGGUUACUGCUGGUCCAUGAAGGCCGACACUGCCUUUUAAGCCCUCAAGAUGACGUUGUGUACAACAUAAUUUUGCACAUGCCAGACUUCAGCCGUGACUUCAUUGUUGACGCUGACUAG
rnacentral:rRNA from 1 species